CAGACCACGAGUCACAACAAGAACAUAGAAAGCAGCUUUAGAGGCAAUCGUCAUAUGGCACAAGCAAUGCUGGUGGCUAGCUAGCACCCCUAUAUGGCCAUAGAGGUGCCUUUUUAUAUAGUUCUUAAAAGUCAUGCUCUGUGAAUUAACUUGUUCAGAGUCAGAACUUGCCCUGACUCAUCGUAUUCUCCUGCUUAAGACCUUUUUUCAUUUAAAAUAAAUACCACAACAUGGGUUUAUCCAGGUAAAUAUAAAUAUUAAAUUUUGCUGCAAACAGCAAUUGAGGUGGCCCAGCAUAAGAGAAUGGAUAUAGCACAUGAGCAGAUAUUGCAUGGACCAAGUGUUAAAUAGAAAAGAUAAGUAUUUUUUAAAACGUAUUUGAAAAUAUUUCAAAAUUAAUCACAUAAACCAAUAUGGCCACACAACCUCAUGACAUAUAGGCUCCUUAUUGAAGAUGAUAAACUGCUCCCUGUAAACUGGGUGGUUUUAUAACAUAUUAUCUCUUUCUCCAAGGAUUAGAGUGAGUAUAGUGUGAGUGACAUGGGUUGAUGAAAACUAUUUAA